UACGUAGGCAGCAAGCGUUGUUCGGAGUUACUGGGCGUAAAGAGUGCGUAGGUGGUGCCCUAAGUCUGUUGUGAAAUCUCCCGGCUUAACUGGGAGGGUGCGGUGGAAACUGGGGUGCUUGAGUGUGGGAGAGGUAAGCGGAAUUCAUGGUGUAGCAGUGAAAUGCGUAGAGAUCAUGAGGAAGACCAGUGGCGAAGGCGGGUCUCUGGACAGUUCCUGACACUGAGGCACGAAGGCCAGGGGAGCAAACGGGAUU
rnacentral:rRNA from 1 species